UUAAUGCCCUAUAGUAUCUUUUUAAGGCAUCUUAUUAAGAUUAAAGGUUACGGUAUGAGAUGAGUAUGCGUUCUAUUAGCUAGUAGGUGUGGUAACGGCACACCUAGGCUACGAUAGAUAGGGGCCCUGAGAGGGGGAUCCCCCACACUGGUACUGAGACACGGACCAGGUUUAUUCGUGAGGCAGCAGUAAGGAAUAUUGGUCAAUGGACGAAA
rnacentral:rRNA from 1 species